rnacentral:rRNA from 1 species
UACAUGGGGUGCAAACGUUGUUCGGAAUUACUGGGCGUAAAGCGCGUGUAGGCUGCGAUGUAAGUCGGACGUGAAAGCCCUUGGCUUAACCAAGGAAGUGCAUCCGAUACUGUGUCGCUUGAGUACCGGAGGGGAUGGCGGAAUUCCCGGUGUAGAGGUGAAAUUCGUAGAUAUUAGGAAGAACACCAGUGGCGAAGGCGGCUCACUGGCCCGGUACUGACGCUGAGGUACGAAAGCGUGGGGAGCAAACAGG